rnacentral:rRNA from 1 species
UACGUAGGGGACGAGCGUUGUCCGGAAUUAUUGGGCGUAAAGAGCGUGUAGGCGGUCCGGUAAGUCAGCUGUGAAAGUCAAGGGCUCAACCCUUGAAAGCCGGUUGAUACUGUCGGGCUAGAGUCCGGAAGAGGCGAGUGGAAUUCCCGGUGUAGCGGUGAAAUGCGCAGAUAUCGGGAGGAACACCAGUGGCGAAGGCGACUACCUGGCCUGUUCUUGACGCUGAGGCGCGAAAGCUAGGGGAGCAAACGGGG